GGUCUGCUCCCUGCUUGAGUGAUCAACAUCAUUUCCAUACUAUAAUUACAUUGCCCAAUCCUCUCCUGAUUUUACUGCUAUCUUAUAUGAAAGGUCUUAGGCCCUGACAAGGAAAAUGAGUGAUGAAUUAUGCAGGCAGCGAGCUCCAAUCUGACUUCUGUGAUGUGUGCGGCUAUCAUUGCACAAACUAUUUCGUCCCCCGGAUCCAGGAAAUGUGGUUUUACACUUGCUCAGACGUCUUUACAAAAGGGUGACAGCAGAUUUCAUAAGUAGAGAGAAACAAGAAAACUGGACUGUUUUUCCAGAAACAGCGUGAGCUGGGAUGCCCGCCUCCUCCUGGCCCCUCCGAGUGUGGACUCAGCUCCCUCACCCAUGUUGGGCUGGAGGCCAUGGUGUCAGCCCCAACCGAGAAAUCAGGUCUGGUUCCUUCCCACAACGAUGGCCAUUCAUCAGGCGUGACACUCAGUGACUCAGGGGACAGGAAAUGGGAUGUGGCAUCUCCUGUCGGAGAUUCCGAGAGUCGGAGUCCAUCUGCAGCAUGGGCAUCCCCGAGUAAGAUGAGAUGGAAUUCAUUUAUUCAGUGCUUCCUUCCACUAGUAUUUAUUAAAUGCCUAUUUUUUUUGACAGUCACUUAUCGAGACCUUGGGGAUACCUCAAUGAUCAAGUCAGACACAGCCCAGCUUUUGCGGGGUAUAUGUAUUUGUACAGGAGACAGAGAACAGAAUAAACCAACUAGGUGAUUCCAGCUGGUUUGGCAGCCCGUUCUGCUAUUCGGAAACUCUCAGCAUCAGACUUUGAAUUUGCUGCUUUCUUGUCUCAUUUCAUUGCUAAGACAACACUCUGCAGUGGCUCCAAGGAUGACCACCGUCUCACAGAUGAAGACAUCGAGGAUCA
rnacentral:lncRNA from 1 species